rnacentral:rRNA from 1 species
GGGUUGUGAGGUUAAGCGACUAAGCGUACACGGUGGAUGCCCUGGCAGUCAGAGGCGAUGAAGGACGUGCUAAUCUGCGAUAAGCGUCGGUAAGGUGAUAUGAACCGUUAUAACCGGCGAUUUCCGAAUGGGGAAACCCAGUGUGUUUCGACACACUAUCAUUAACUGAAUCCAUAGGUUAAUGAGGCGAACCGGGGGAACUGAAACAUCUAAGUACCCCGAGGAAAAGAAAUCAACCGAGAUUCCCCCAGUAGCGGCGAGCGAACGGGGAGCAGCCCAGAGUCUGAAUCAGUGUGUGUGUUAGUGGAAGCGUCUGGAAAGGCGCGCGAUACAGGGUGACAGCCCCGUACACAAAAAUGCACAUAUUGUGAGCUCGAUGAGUAGGGCGGGACACGUGGUAUCCUGUCUGAAUAUGGGGGGACCAUCCUCCAAGGCUAAAUACUCCUGACUGACCGAUAGUGAACCAGUACCGUGAGGGAAAGGCGAAAAGAACCCCGGCGAGGGGAGUGAAAAAGAACCUGAAACCGUGUACGUACAAGCAGUGGGAGCACAGAGCAAUCUGUGUGACUGCGUACCUUUUGUAUAAUGGGUCAGCGACUUAUAUUCUGUAGCAAGGUUAACCGAAUAGGGGAGCCGAAGGGAAACCGAGUCUUAACUGGGCGUUAAGUUGCAGGGUAUAGACCCGAAACCCGGUGAUCUAGCCAUGGGCAGGUUGAAGGUUGGGUAACACUAACUGGAGGACCGAACCGACUAAUGUUGAAAAAUUAGCGGAUGACUUGUGGCUGGGGGUGAAAGGCCAAUCAAACCGGGAGAUAGCUGGUUCUCCCCGAAAGCUAUUUAGGUAGCGCCUCGUGAAUUCAUCUCCGGGGGUAGAGCACUGUUUCGGCAAGGGGGUCAUCCCGACUUACCAACCCGAUGCAAACUGCGAAUACCGGAGAAUGUUAUCACGGGAGACACACGGCGGGUGCUAACGUCCGUCGUGAAGAGGGAAACAACCCAGACCGCCAGCUAAGGUCCCAAAGUCAUGGUUAAGUGGGAAACGAUGUGGGAAGGCCCAGACAGCCAGGAUGUUGGCUUAGAAGCAGCCAUCAUUUAAAGAAAGCGUAAUAGCUCACUGGUCGAGUCGGCCUGCGCGGAAGAUGUAACGGGGCUAAACCAUGCACCGAAGCUGCGGCAGCGACACUAUGUGUUGUUGGGUAGGGGAGCGUUCUGUAAGCCUGUGAAGGUGUGCUGUGAGGCAUGCUGGAGGUAUCAGAAGUGCGAAUGCUGACAUAAGUAACGAUAAAGCGGGUGAAAAGCCCGCUCGCCGGAAGACCAAGGGUUCCUGUCCAACGUUAAUCGGGGCAGGGUGAGUCGACCCCUAAGGCGAGGCCGAAAGGCGUAGUCGAUGGGAAACAGGUUAAUAUUCCUGUACUUGGUGUUACUGCGAAGGGGGGACGGAGAAGGCUAUGUUGGCCGGGCGACGGUUGUCCCGGUUUAAGCGUGUAGGCUGGUUUUCCAGGCAAAUCCGGAAAAUCAAGGCUGAGGCGUGAUGACGAGGCACUACGGUGCUGAAGCAACAAAUGCCCUGCUUCCAGGAAAAGCCUCUAAGCAUCAGGUAACAUCAAAUCGUACCCCAAACCGACACAGGUGGUCAGGUAGAGAAUACCAAGGCGCUUGAGAGAACUCGGGUGAAGGAACUAGGCAAAAUGGUGCCGUAACUUCGGGAGAAGGCACGCUGAUAUGUAGGUGAAGCGACUUGCUCGUGGAGCUGAAAUCAGUCGAAGAUACCAGCUGGCUGCAACUGUUUAUUAAAAACACAGCACUGUGCAAACACGAAAGUGGACGUAUACGGUGUGACGCCUGCCCGGUGCCGGAAGGUUAAUUGAUGGGGUCAGCGCAAGCGAAGCUCUUGAUCGAAGCCCCGGUAAACGGCGGCCGUAACUAUAACGGUCCUAAGGUAGCGAAAUUCCUUGUCGGGUAAGUUCCGACCUGCACGAAUGGCGUAAUGAUGGCCAGGCUGUCUCCACCCGAGACUCAGUGAAAUUGAACUCGCUGUGAAGAUGCAGUGUACCCGCGGCAAGACGGAAAGACCCCGUGAACCUUUACUAUAGCUUGACACUGAACAUUGAGCCUUGAUGUGUAGGAUAGGUGGGAGGCUUUGAAGUGUGGACGCCAGUCUGCAUGGAGCCGACCUUGAAAUACCACCCUUUAAUGUUUGAUGUUCUAACGUGGACCCGUGAUCCGGGUUGCGGACAGUGUCUGGUGGGUAGUUUGACUGGGGCGGUCUCCUCCUAAAGAGUAACGGAGGAGCACGAAGGUUGGCUAAUCCUGGUCGGACAUCAGGAGGUUAGUGCAAUGGCAUAAGCCAGCUUGACUGCGAGCGUGACGGCGCGAGCAGGUGCGAAAGCAGGUCAUAGUGAUCCGGUGGUUCUGAAUGGAAGGGCCAUCGCUCAACGGAUAAAAGGUACUCCGGGGAUAACAGGCUGAUACCGCCCAAGAGUUCAUAUCGACGGCGGUGUUUGGCACCUCGAUGUCGGCUCAUCACAUCCUGGGGCUGAAGUAGGUCCCAAGGGUAUGGCUGUUCGCCAUUUAAAGUGGUACGCGAGCUGGGUUUAGAACGUCGUGAGACAGUUCGGUCCCUAUCUGCCGUGGGCGCUGGAGAAUUGAGGGGGGCUGCUCCUAGUACGAGAGGACCGGAGUGGACGCAUCACUGGUGUUCGGGUUGUCAUGCCAAUGGCACUGCCCGGUAGCUAAAUGCGGAAGAGAUAAGUGCUGAAAGCAUCUAAGCACGAAACUUGCCCCGAGAUGAGUUCUCCCUGACUCCUUGAGAGUCCUGAAGGAACGUUGAAGACGACGACGUUGAUAGGCCGGGUGUGUAAGCGCAGCGAUGCGUUGAGCUAACCGGUACUAAUGAACCGUGAGGCUUAACCUUACAACGCCGAAG